rnacentral:tRNA from 1 species
AGGAAGGAAAUCGUCCCUGGUGGGGCGGCCGGGCUUCAAACCCGGUUGGUGGCGCCACGCGUCGCCGGGUGGGUUCGACUCCCGCUUCCUUCCGCCA